rnacentral:rRNA from 1 species
AACGAACGCUGGCGGCGUGCCUAAGACAUGCAAGUCGUGCGAGAAAAGGGCUUCGGCCCCGAGUAGAGUGGCGCACGGGUGAGUAACGCGUAAGUAAUCUACCCCUGUAUUCGGAAUACCCCCACCGAAAGGUGAGCUAAUACCGGAUACGUUUAUCUUGAUGCGAAUGAUGAUAAAGAAAGGUGGCCUCUUCUUGAAAGCUACUGUACAGGGACGAGCUUGCGUACCAUUAGCUAGUUGGUAGGGUAAUGGCCUACCAAGGCGACGAUGGUUAGCGGGUCUGAGAGGAUGAUCCGCCACACUGGAACUGGAACACGGACCAGACUCCUACGGGUGGCAG